UACGUAGGAGGCAAGCGUUGUCCGGAAUUACUGGGCGUAAAGCGCGCGUAGGUGGCCCCAUAAGUCCGCUGUGAAAGUCAAAGGCUCAACCUUUGAAAGCCGGUGGAUACUGUGGGACUAGAGUACGGAAGAGGCGAGUGGAAUUCCUGGUGUAGCGGUGGAAUGCGCAGAUAUCAGGAGGAACACCAAUAGCGAAGGCAGCUCGCUGGGACGUUACUGACACUGAGGCGCGAAAGCGUGGGGAGCGAACAGG
rnacentral:rRNA from 1 species